AAUGAACGCUGGCGGCAUGCCUAACACAUGCAAGUCGAACGAAGCCUUCGGGCUUAGUGGCGCACGGGUGCGUAACGCGUGGGAAUCUGCCCUUGGGUUCGGAAUAACAGUUAGAAAUGACUGCUAAUACCGAAUGAUGUCGUAAGACCAAAGAUUUAUCGCCCAGGGAUGAGCCCGCGUAGGAUUAGCUAGUUGGUGUGGUAAAGGCGCACCAAGGCGACGAUCCUUAGCUGGUCUGAGAGGAUGAUCAGCCACACUGGGACUGAGACACGGCCCAGACUCCUACGGGAGGCAGCAGUGGGGAAUAUUGGACAAUGGGCGAAAGCCUGAUCCAGCAAUGCCGCGUGAGUGAUGAAGGCCUUAGGGUUGUAAAGCUCUUUACCCGGGAUGAUAAUGACAGUACCGGGAGAAUAAGCUCCGGCUAACUCCGUGCCAGCAGCCGCGGUAAU
rnacentral:rRNA from 1 species